GGUACCCAAGCCUGGUGCUGGAUGCAGACAGAAUGGAAAACACAGAAGCUGUGAAGGCCAAGGCACGCACGGGCUACUGCAGGACUGUAGGUCGCCUGCCAUGGCUGGUUUCCAGGUAGAGCCGCCCCGAUGAGAUCCCUGAACACUGUUUCCUUUCCUGGCAUUACCACGGAAGAUACACAUUUCCUCCUACUCUCUGGCUUCAGUGUGUCAUGUUCAAAAUGACUCUGUUCCACAGAGCCCGCAGCUCUGGGUGGUCAACUCAAGGGCACCCAAUGGAGGGAGGACCCAGAUACCUUCUCUCUAGUCACCCAGAAGCCAUCUCUACAACUUUCUUUUGUUGACUGGACAGAUUCAUACAAGGUCCGAGGAAUACUCAACAGAGGGCAACAAUUAUCCUAAGUCCUCAUUUAUCUAAUGUUCUAGGAAACCAGCUUCAUUCCCGGGACAAUAAACUUACUUUGCCAAU
rnacentral:lncRNA from 1 species